AACGAACGCUGGUGGCGUGCCUAACACAUGCAAGUCGAACGAGAAAGUCCGCUUCGGUGGAUGAGUAAAGUGGCGCACGGGUGAGUAACACGUGGAUAAUCUACCUCCGAGUGAGGGAUAACUCGCCGAAAGGCGGGCUAAUACCUCAUAACAUCUCGCGAACCGCGGUUUGCGAGAUCAAAGGUGGCCUCUGACAGCAAGCUGUCGCUUGGAGAUGAGUCCGCGGCCCAUUAGCUAGUUGGUAGGGUAAUGGCUUACCAAGGCGACGAUGGGUAGCUGGUCUGAGAGGAUGAUCAGCCACACUGGAACUGAGAUACGGUCCAGACUCCUACGGGUGGCUG
rnacentral:rRNA from 1 species